AGACUUGACGCGUGCUGUUUCUACCAAGAUUGUAAAUGAUCAAGCUUCUCCUGAUAUUAUUAUUAACAGCGACCCUGGAGGAGAUACGAAGCAAGAGGCUUCACCUCCACCGAUACCCGUAGUUCUGGUCCGUUCCAGGUCUGGCAAUGACAUAGACUCUUUUUCGGUAGAAAAAUCAAGAAAAGAAGAAUUACUUGGCAAUAUCUCCAAGCAACGCCUUACCAGAUCAUCCUCAAUGAUAAUUGUAUCACAGGCUCGAAUAUAUCCCUAUCUGGAUUCUGUUAGAGUUUCACCAAAGGAUGCAGGAAACAUGCGCUCACUUGAACAAAAUGGUGGCAUAAUGCCUCUAUCAUCAGAUAACAAGUUUGGUGCCUUUUUCUUGAUAAAGAAUUUGGAUACAGGUAAAGAAUUCAUUGUCAACGAGUACAAUCAAGAUGGGAUGUGGAAUAAGGUAAGCGAUCUGCAAACAGGGAAGCAAUUAACCAUGGAAGAAUUCGAAAAGUGUGUUGGCCAUUCGCGGAUUGUUAAGGAGUUAAUGAGUAGAGAAAAUGUUUCCAGGAUGAAUGGUGAUGAUAGGAAAAUAACAGCCAAUAAUUAUCUAUCGAAGAGUUUGAGAAUGAGCAAGAGAAGGGG
rnacentral:misc_RNA from 1 species